rnacentral:rRNA from 1 species
AUGGAGUUGGGUAGUAGUGCUACCAUGUCUCGAGAGCUGGUCGUCCUAGCGUUCACGUACGUGCUUGUCCACUAUCUCACAGGGGUCAUUCUCCGGAGCAAACGGGCGUCGCUGCCUUUGCCACCCUGCCCGCGGGGCUACCCGGUGGUUGGAGCGCUGCCCCUGCUGGGCCGGGCACCGCACCGAGCACUCGCAGCCCUGGCUAGGCUGCACGGCCCCAUCAUGCACCUGACCCUUGGAAGGCAAGGCCUCGUCGUCGCUUCCACGCCAGAGUCGGCGCGCCUCCUGCUCAAGGACCACGGCGGCAGCUUCCUCGACCCCCCGGUGGACGACGGCGCGCCAAAGGUGCUGGCGUACGGCGCCCAGGACCUUGUUUUCGCGCCCUAUGGCCCCAAGUGGCGCCGCCUGCUCCGGGAGUUCAGCGCGGGCCUCCUUGACCCCAAGGCGCUCGCCGACUGGGCCGACACGCGCCACGGGGAGGUCGGCCGUAUGGUCCGUGCGAUGAGCCGGCGGGGCGAGGCAUUGGAGGUACCGGAGUUUCUGUUCGGCGCAAUGGCAAACAUGAUUGGACAGGCGGUGGUGGGUCGGCGAGUGCUCGACGAGGCUGGCGGCGAGGCCACGAGGGAGUUCAAGGAGAUGGUGGUGGAGCUGAUGACCACGGCGGGGUUGGUGAACAUCGGCGACUUUGUGCCGGCAGUAGCAUGGAUGGACCUGCAGGGACUCGGCCGGAGGAUGCGGCGGCUAACAACAAGGCUGGACAGGGCCUGGAGCCGGUUGCUGUCCGAUCACGAGGUGGCCAUGGCUAACAGGAAGCAAGACGGGAGGCGCCGUACAAACCUUGUCGACCGGCUGAUCGCAUGUCGUGGCCAUGCGGAGGACGGGGGGACGGCGUCACAGACCUCAACAUCAAAGCUGUACUUAACAACCUGUUCACAGCGGGGAAGACACUUCGUCGAGCACAAUCGAGUGGGCGCUGGCCGAUAU